GAGGGUCAGAGGAGGGUUCAUUGGAUGUCUUGGGAACGUAUGAUAAAACCAAAGAGGGAAGGAGGGAUUGGGUUUCGUGAUAUGCAUCUAUUCAAUUUGGCGUUGUUAGCAAGAUAGAGCUGGAGACUCAUCCAAUACCCGAAAAGCCUAUGUGCUAGAGUUCUCAAGUCAAAGUACUACCCUAUUGUUGGGGAACGUAGCAAUAAUUCAAAAUUUUCCUACGUGUCACCAAGAUCAAUCUAG
rnacentral:rRNA from 1 species